rnacentral:rRNA from 1 species
UACGUAGGGGGGCAAGCGUUGUCCGGAAUCAUUGGGCGUAAAGCGCGUGUAGGCGGCUCGAUUAGUCCGCUCUGAAAGUCCGGGGCUCAACCCCCGGGAGGCGGGUGGAUACUGUCGAGCUAGAGUCCGGAAAGGGGCGAGUGGAAUUCCUGGUGUAGCGGUGAAAUGCGUAGAGAUCAUGAGGAAGACCAGUGGCGAAGGCGGGUCUCUGGACAGUUCCUGACACUGAGACACGAAGGCCAGGGGAGCAAACGGG